GAGUUUGAUCAUGGCUCAGGAUGAACGCUGGCGGCGUGCUUAACACAUGCAAGUCGAACGGACUCAUAUUGAAACCUAGUGAUAUAUGAGUUAGUGGCGGACGGGUGAGUAACGCGUGGAGAACCUGCCGUAUACUGGGGGAUAACACUUAGAAAUAGGUGCUAAUACCGCAUAAGCGCACAGCUUCGCAUGAAGCAGUGUGAAAAACUCCGGUGGUAUACGAUGGAUCCGCGUCUGAUUAGCUGGUUGGCGGGGUAAAGGCCCACCAAGGCGACGAUCAGUAGCCGGCCUGAGAGGGUGAACGGCCACAUUGGGACUGAGACACGGCCCAAACUCCUACGGGAGGCAGCAGUGGGGAAUAUUGCACAAUGGGGGAAACCCUGAUGCAGCGACGCCGCGUGAGUGAAGAAGUAUUUCGGUACGUAAAGCUCUAUCAGCAGGGAAGAAAAUGACGGUACCUGACUAAGAAGCCCCGGCUAACUACGUGCCAGCAGCCGCGGUAAUACGUAGGGGGCAAGCGUUAUCCGGAUUUACUGGGUGUAAAGGGAGCGUAGACGGCAGCGCAAGUCUGGAGUGAAAUCCCAUGGCUUAACCAUGGAACUGCUUUGGAAACUGUGCAGCUGGAGUGCAGGAGAGGUAAGCGGAAUUCCUAGUGUAGCGGUGAAAUGCGUAGAUAUUAGGAGGAACACCAGUGGCGAAGGCGGCUUACUGGACUGUAACUGACGUUGAGGCUCGAAAGCGUGGGGAGCAAACAGGAUUAGAUACCCUGGUAGUCCACGCUGUAAACGAUGAUUACUAGGUGUUGGGGGACCAAGGUCCUUCGGUGCCGUCGCAAACGCAUUAAGUAAUCCACCUGGGGAGUACGUUCGCAAGAAUGAAACUCAAAGGAAUUGACGG
rnacentral:rRNA from 1 species